rnacentral:rRNA from 1 species
ACGGAAGGCAGCAGUGGGGAAUAUUGGACAAUGGGGGAAACCCUGAUCCAGCGACGCCGCGUGAGUGAAGAAGUAUCUCGGUAUGUAAAGCUCUAUCAGCAGGGAAGAAAAAAGACGGUACCUGACUAAGAAGCACCGGCUAAAUACGUGCCAGCAGCCGCGGUAAUACGUAUGGUGCAAGCGUUAUCCGGAUUUACUGGGUGUAAAGGGAGCGCAGGCGGUCUUGCAAGCCAGAGGUGAAAACCCGGGGCUCAACCCCGCGGAUUGCCUUUGGAACUGUAGGACUUGAGUACUGGAGGGGCAGGCGGAAUUCCUGGUGUAGCGGUGAAAUGCGUAGAUAUCAGGAGGAACACCGGUGGCGAAGGCGGCCUGCUGGACAGAAACUGACGCUGAGGCUCGAAAGCGUGGGGAGCAAACAGGAUUAGAUACCCUGGUA